CUGAGGGUAUUGUUUAUUUAUUUAUUUUUUGUUGUUUUGAUGGUUUUGUGUAUGGAUGUUUUUGUUUAUGUAGUUGACGAUGUAUAUUGAGUUGUGAUUAUGAUGACCCCUGCUGGUCAUGUGAUGGGCGCACGGAAUGGUGGGAAAAAUGUGCAGUCUGUUUUUUGGAGCUACGGUAUAUGAGCGGAGUUCGACCGUGGAGCCUUGGCAGCUCCUGAUUUACUGGUUGGAAGGCGCACACGGUAAGAGAGUGUGGUCUUUUUUUUUUGUGCAUUUUAUAUUUGUUUUGUAUGUGUGAUAAAACUGAUGUAGAGAAGCCAUAUUUAUGUUAAAAUGUGGUUAUGUUAUGUUUUGUGUUAUUUCAGUUUUUCACGGUGUUUGGAGCAGUGUAAAGUGUAAAAGGAAGACAAUAAAGCUCAAUCAAACAUCCGUUGGAUCGUGGUUUUUCUGACCAGGAAGAAAAGUAUUGGGAGCAGCUACAGUGAAAAACGUGACCCACCUUUGAAAAGGUGUCCACGCGAAGUGAACGUGUUCAUGCAGUGGAACCCGGAAGAAGGAGAAGCGAUCCACGAAAGAAAACGACGUGGACAGCGGGAGUAAGGGCAACGAGGUUCGCCAGCCUUCCUGUGAAGAUCCGAAGGACUGCACCUCUGAAGCAUUCUCUACGCAUAGUAGGCCUGUGUGAGGACCUCAUUUCCCUCUGGCAUUCAUCCAGCGCGACACCGCGAGCGGCAGACCAGUGCGAGUAAAGCGCAAGAAGAUGACGGCGCUGCAGAUGCUACAAGAGGCCACAGGGUAGCAGCAGCGUCACAUGAACAAUUCAGCUAACGAAUAUUAUUGCAAAGGACAACAGGUCAGACUGUAUAUUUUCCAUUGUGUUUUUGGUUUAUUGAACUGAAUGUUUUUUACACUUCAAGUUAUUAUUAGAAAAGAAAAAAAAGGACUUACAUUUUGAAAAAGUGUAAAUUUAACCGAAAUACGUAACGUGUUUGCAUUUCAUAUUGAGUGUUUUCAUGACAGUUCUGUAUUGUUGUAAGCCGUCAUACUAGUGUAACAAAAUGGAACAGUUCGGACCAGAUACUUUUGUACUAGAGGGAGUACUAGAGGCUCUGGAAAAAGAAAAAGAAGAGUUAGAGGAAAAAUUAGAAACUGAAAUUGAUGAGUCAGAAAGACAGGAUAUUGAAGAACGCAUAGCUGAAAUUAAUACAGAUCUUCAAAUCCAUAAAAUAGUGCUCAAGGAGCCAGCACCUCAGACUGAAGGAACAGUGAGGCGAUCAGAAAGAAAGAAGCAUCCUACAGAAAAGGGGCUUGAAUACAUAAAAGAGGAGAGUUCAAAAAAGGAAAAGAAGUUUAUGUUUACAUAUGUCAACUUCAAGGCUGAGGUUCAGUAUACUAGGACUAAAUUAAAGGAAGAAUGCUCUAAAGCAGAAUUAGGUGAAAUGAUUCUAGCUUUAAGUAAAUAUGAGCCAAUACUAAAGCAAGAAUAUGAGAGUUUGCGCGUACUGACCACACCAUCUCCAGAUAUCAGGAGAAGAAUGGAUAGCUGCACUUCAGUGACAACAGAAAUUAUUUCACUCCUGAAAAUACGCUACUCAGAAGCAGAUAAAGAGUUUGAUCCAGAGACUGUGAAAGAAGGACUCUUGAAAUUACUCCAAAGAGAAGAUGCCAGGUCAAUUUAUGGCUCAACUGUGUCAAGAGCUGCAGGGAGUAGUCUGCAAGGUAGUCAGGUGUCACUAAAGAAGGCAGAGGUGGCAGCGCGAUUGGCGUCAAAACGUGCUGAAGUUAUCAGGGAAAAGGAAAUAUCUGCACAAAGGAAAGAAGUGUUGGCACAGCAAGAGAGGUUAAAAAUUAUGGAGGAUCAAAGGGAUCUUGAGGCCAUGGAGGCUGAAUACAAGGUGUAUGCUGAAGAGGAAUCAAAAUUAAAUGCUGAAAUAGGAGAUACUAGAGAAAUAUUCCCAAUGCCUCCCCGUCAGCUUCCAAUACAGCAUAACCGCAUAUCAUGCAUUCAGGCUUCCCAAGAUCUCUCAGGCCCGCUAAGCUCUGAAAGCAAAGUAGCACCAACAUCGAAUGAAGCCACGCUAGUUCAAGCCUUAAAAGAGUCCCUGGUAAUGACUAGACUUCCAGCACCAGAGCCAUUCACGUUUACAGGAGACCCACUCAAAUUCACUGAGUGGCGCACUAGCUUCAAAGCCUUAAUUGAAACAAGUUGCUUAAACCCAGCACACAGGCUCUACUAUUUGAAAAAAUACAUUAGUGGAGAAGCGCUUUGUGUGUUAGAAGGGACAUUCUAUCGGAGUGACGAAGAAGCUUAUACACAGGCUUGGGACGCCCUGAACAAACGUUAUGGCCACCCCUUCGUUGUCCAAAGAGCAUUCCGCGGGAAGCUGAGCAACUGGCCUAAAAUUGGACCAAAGGAAUCUCUGAAAUUAAGAGAAUUCAGUGAUUUCCUCAUCUCAUGCAAGAACGCAAUGCCUCACGUAGCUGGUCUAAUGGUGUUAGAUGAUUGUGAGGAAAAUCAAAAACUGCUACAGAAGCUUCCUGACUGGUUAACAACCCGCUGGAACCGACAUGUGACUAAAGCAUUAGACGAAGGGAAAUUAUAUCCUGGCUUCAAGGAGUUUUCAGGUUUUGUGGCAGAAGAGGCACGUAUUGCGUGUAACCCAGUCUCAUCUCUUCAUGCACUGAAACAUAUAGAUGAGAAAACUGAUAAGGAACAGAAGCGUCCCAAGGCCAACUCUCUGGUGACAACAACAAAGGUGCACCAGAAGGAAAACUUCACUAAGAAGAGCUCAAGCCAAUCAGAGGGUUCUACAGCCAACCCUUCUGCCUCUCAAACCAAAAGGUUCAUAGAAUGUAUCUGCUGUCAAGAAAAUCACUUUAUUUACAAAUGUGGAAAAUUUGCAGCAAUGCCUCUAGAAGAGAAGAAAAAAUUUGUCAUCAGUAACAAUAUGUGUUUCGGUUGCCUCAGAGUAGGUCAUGUUGCCAAAAACUGUCGAAAGAGGGCUAUUUGUAACAUCUGCAGGCGGAAUCAUCCAUCUCCACUCCAUGAGGAACGAGCUCCAGGUGAAAGACAAGAAGUACCACCGCAAAAGGAAAGUUCUUCCACUAACUUAUGCAGUGUGAGAAAGAACAGUGGUGAUCGCACUUCAAUGAUUGUCCCAGUGUGGCUUUCUAGCACAGCUAAGAAUAGCCGAGAAAUCUUGGUUUAUGCAUUACUAGAUACACAGAGCAGUAAUACCUUCAUAGACCAAGAUGUCUGCCAAAAAAUCCAAGUGCACACAGAACCUGUCAAAUUAAAGCUGUCAACAAUGACUGACAAGAGUUCAAUAGUGAAUUGUCACAGAGCAGUUGGAUUGAAGGUGAGAGGGUAUUGUUCAAAAGAGUGCAUUGAACUACCACCAGCCUACACGCAGGAAUACAUCCCGCUGGAGAAAAAUAGUAUUCCAACUCGUGAUACAGCAUCAAGAUGGGUUCACCUUCUCAGUGUGGCCGAAGAGAUGCCAGAUUUGUUGAAUUGUCCUGUAGGACUACUGAUUGGCUAUGACUGUGCAAGGGCUCUGAAACCAAAAGAAGUGAUGUCAGGGGAAGAGCAUGAACCCUAUGCAGUCAAGACGGCGUUGGGCUGGAGUAUAGUUGGAGCCACUAUGCCUUGCACUAAUACAAGAAAUGAGACCGGAUUCUGCCAUCGCAUUUCUGUGAAAGAACUACCACCCAUCACACCCACCUCUGUGAUUAAGGCAUUAGAGAUGGAUUUUCUGGACACAAAUCCAAAAGACAAGACAAUAUCGCAAGAAGAUAUUCAAUUUCUAAAUGUUUUGAAUGAGAAAAUCAAGCACAAUGAAGAGGGACAUCUAGAGAUGCCUCUGCCAUUUAAAGCGCGUCCUCAGCUUCCAAGCAAUAAGCAGCUUGCUACAGUGCGUCUAAAGCAUUUAAGAAGAAAGAUGGAGAAGAAUCCUAAAUACAGGGAGGAUUACAUUAAAUUCAUGGGCAAUGUUUUUAGAGAUGGUGAUGCAGAGGAGACAAGUGUGGUCCCUGAAGAAGGCAACAUAUGGUACAUUCCACACCAUGGGGUGUAUCACCCUAGGAAGCCUGAAAAAAUAAGGGUCGUAUUCGAUUGCUCCGCCAAAUUCGAGGGCACCUCUCUGAACGACCACCUGCUCACAGGCCCAGAUUUAACGAACACUUUGACUGGAGUCCUGUGUAGAUUUCGACAACACAAGAUUGCAAUCAAUUGCGAUGUGGAAAAAAUGUUUCAUCGCUUUCACGUCAGCCCAGAAGAUCGGGAUUUCAUGAGGUUCCUGUGGUGGGACAAUGGGAACACAGAAAGUGAGCCCAAGGAAUACCACAUGCGAGUGCACAUAUUCGGUGCUGCGUCAUCACCGGGAUGUGCUAAUUAUGGCAUGAAACACCUUGCCAAUAAAUAUGAGAAGAGCCAUACACUGGCAGCAAGUUUCAUUCGCAAGAAUUUUUAUGUGGAUGACGGGCUGGUCAGUGUCAAUUCGGUUGAAAUAGCCAACCAGCUCAUUACUGAAGCGAGAGAACUCUGUAGUAAGGCACAGCUGCGUUUACAUAAAUUUGUCUCCAACAACAGAGAUGUUUUGAAUGCAAUACCAGAGAGUGAACGUGCUAGAACUGUGGAAGAUGUAGACCUGAACUACAGUGAGCUUCCAAUACAGAGUGUACUGGGAGUAAAGUGGAACGUUGAGAGAGAUGCAUUUUCAUUCAAUGUCGUCCGCACAGAAAAGGCAGCCACACGGAGAGGAAUCCUAUCAACAGUCGCCAGUGUUUAUGACCCACUGGGAUUUCUUGCUCCCUACCUCUUGAAUGGUAAAAGAGUGCUGCAAGAGAUGUGCAAACAGGGUAUGGGAUGGGAUGAACCUGUUCCCCCUGAACUAAAGUCAAGUUGGGAAGCAUGGCUCCAUGACUUGGAGAGUCUUCAAAAAAUUGAAAUUCCAAGGUGCUUCAUUCCUGAAACCCUUGGCACGAUCCAAAAAAUUGAGCUGCAUCAUUUUUCAGAUGCCAGCAACAACGGCUAUGGGCAGUGCUCAUAUAUCAGGAUCGUUGCAGAUGAGCAAGUGCACUGUACAUUAGUAAUGGGUAAGGCCAGAGUGGCACCCAUAAGGGUUGUCAGCAUACCCCGACUUGAGCUAACAGCAGCUACGGUGUCUGCUUCUGUUAGUAAUACCCUCCGAGAAGAACUGGAGCUGGAAAUAGAUCAAGAGUUUUUCUGGACCGAUUCACAGGUGGUGCUCGGGUACAUUAAAAAUGAAGCCAGACGAUUUCAUGUAUUUGUAGCCAACCGUGUUCAGAAGAUAAGAGACUCUACUGAUCCUAGUCGAUGGUUCUAUGUUGAGACGGGUCAGAAUCCAGCAGACCAUGCAUCUAGAGGUCUCAAGGUGGCAGAUCUUCUAGAAUCAAGUUGGCUGAGAGGACCAGAGUUCUUAUGGGAACCAGAAAUUUUUACAGAUCAAAGGACACCAGAGCUUCUUGUGGGCGACCCAGAAGUAAAGGUCUUAAAAACUGAUACUGUUGAACAGGACAGCUUCUUGAAAAGGCUGUCAAGAAUUUCUGAUUGGAACACAGCCCUCAAUGUCAUUGCUCGGAUCCAAAGACUGGCACAUAAAGACAAAACUGGACCCAUCAGUGUUGAGGAACGAAGAGAAGCUACGCUUGUGCUCAUCAGAGCAGCACAGAGAGAGGCCUUCGAAGUAGAACUCAAAUGGUUUAGCCAAAAGUCCAUGAAAUUGCCAAAAACUCACAAGAUGCAUCAACUUGAUCCAAUAUUUGAGAAUGGAUUGCUCAGGGUAGGAGGCAGAUUAAGAAUUUCUUCUGCAUCCCUGGAAUUAAGGCAUCCAGUGAUUUUACCUAAGGAAGGCAUUGUCACACAGCUUAUACUUGACCAUUGUCAUAAGAAGACACAGCACCAAGGCCGAGGGCAAACAUUGAAUGAGCUCAGAGCUAAUGGUUUUUGGAUUUUAGGUGCUAGCAAGUUAGUGGCCAAGUAUAUUAAGAACUGUGUCACUUGCAGAAAGGUUCGUGGGCCGACGGAACAACAACGUAUGGCGGACCUGCCCAGUGACCGAGUUGAACCCUCUCCUCCGUUCUCAUACGCUGGGAUUGAUUGUUUCGGCCCUUUCUACACCAAACAGGGUCGUAAAGAACAUAAGAGGUAUGGUCUAUUGUUUACAUGCCUCAGCUCUAGAGCCAUCCACAUAGAAAUGUUGGAGGACCUCACCACUGAUGCAUUUUUAAAUGCUUUGAGAUGCUUUAUAGCAAUCAGAGGAGCAGUAAGACAGAUUCGCUCUGACCAGGGUACAAAUUUCCUUGGAGCAAAGAAUGAAUUGAAGAAGGGUCUAAUGGCUCUAGACAAGGAUCGGAUUGUGACUUUCCUUGCAAGAAAGCAGUGUGACUUCCUCAUGAAUGUUCCUGAAGCAAGCCACAUGGGGGGCAUUUGGGAACGCCAGAUACGGACGGUUAGGAGCGUCAUGAGCACUGUUCUGGCACAAGCUAAUGGAAGACUUGAUGACACCUCAUUGAGGACAUUUUUCUAUGAGGCUAUGUCGAUUGUAAAUAGUCGUCCGCUCACCACAGACACUAUCAGUGAUCCUAAGAGUGUUGAGCCUUUAACGCCUAAUCAUUUGCUCACAAUGAAGUCUAUUGUGCCCCUCCCACCACCAGGCAAUUUUGUAAAAGAAGAUUUAUAUGCCAGAAAACGGUGGCGUAGAGUGCAAUACUUAUCGGAGCAAUUUUGGAGCAGGUGGCGCAAAGAAUACCUGGCUAACAUAAGCCUGAGACAGCGAUGGCAUGUGCCCAGACGGAAUGUGAGGGUGGGAGACGUAGUUAUUGUCAAGGAGGACAAUGUUCCCAGAAACGAAUGGAGACUUGCCAGAGUGGUCGAAGCAAGGAAGGAGGAUGAUGGUUUGGUGCGCAAGGUCAAAAUUCAAAUAGGCCACAGUAAAUUAGGUAAGCAAGGUGAACGCUUAACACAACCAACCUUUCUUGAACGUCCAGUUCAAAAACUAGUGGUGCUAGUUGAGCAGAAUACAUAGGCUAGUAUCACAAUAGCGUUUAGCGCUGCUGUUAAGGGUUAAGCUGUUACACAAAAUAGGUGUGAUAGUUAUUUUCUUAUUUGGGGAAAAUUACAAGAUGUAUUUCAUUGGUUUAACAUAGAGGUAACAUAAAUCUUUGUAAUUUUGGUGGCAGUGUAGCUGUCGCUGAGGGUAUUGUUUAUUUAUUUAUUUUUUGUUGUUUUGAUGGUUUUGUGUAUGGAUGUUUUUGUUUAUGUAGUUGACGAUGUAUAUUGAGUUGUGAUUAUGAUGACCCCUGCUGGUCAUGUGAUGGGCGCACGGAAUGGUGGGAAAAAUGUGCAGUCUGUUUUUUGGAGCUACGGUAUAUGAGCGGAGUUCGACCGUGGAGCCUUGGCAGCUCCUGAUUUACUGGUUGGAAGGCGCACACGUUUUUCACGGUGUUUGGAGCAGUGUAAAGUGUAAAAGGAAGACAAUAAAGCUCAAUCAAACAUCCGUUGGAUCGUGGUUUUUCUGACCAGGAAGAAAAG